GCGGCUACUGAAUAGCUCCUGCACAGGAGCUUUUCAAAGUCUGGACUCCAUGGGGACGGAAGAAUGAUGAACAGGGGACCUGCGGUGCUGGUGAUCGGUCCAGACAGCCCCUUCCCAUCCCCAGCACCGGGUCAGAGAAGAAUGGCCACCUUUCUGCUUCCCCUCCUGCCUUAAAAAUGUACUCCACUAACGAUGACCUAGAGAUACACAACUGUGUAAGAUACACAAUUGUGGUCACCUCCAUAUAAUGCUAAACUCUGCCUCCUAUCCCUGUAACUAGGACAGUUUUACAGCCAAAAACCAACAGAAAAUCUAAAGCAAUACAGAGCCCGCCCUUUCGGGAUUUCCACGGAGAGACCUUCCGGCUUAUGGAAUUGUAUUUACAUUUUAUUAGCAUUUAGAGGUUCUGAAAGAACCCUUUUACCGAAAUUCUGCCAUAUUUUUCUGCUUAUAUUCUUUAAUUGAGUGGCUGUGUAAGAAAGCUAGUCUUCAAACUAUUUUCCCCUCAGUUUAUUCAAUCUAAAAAAGUCUAAAGGAGACUGUGAGAUUAUCCUUUCUUCUUUUGAAAGAUGUUUUCUUUCUCUCUUUUUUUUAAACUUUUGCAAGAGUUUUUAUUUUUGACUCUUUUAAACACUAAUUGAAAACUUGAACAAUAUUAUGAGAUAAAUGACUAUGAAUGUUUAAAAUUCAAACAGUGGCCUAUGAGUGACACUGCAUAUAGAUUUUGUAUUCUAAUAAGAGGUUAACAGCUCAGAUUACCUCUUGUAAUUCACAUAAGUAUUCCUGACACUGAAAUUCAUGAUCCAAAAAGGUGAUAAAAAUAUACCCAAAAGAGAGAAAAGGGAAUACUGAGGAAAAAAUAUACUGUCACUCGAAGUAACAGAUUUGGACAGUACAUUUUGCAUUAAAUAAGUAUAUUUUUUUGUAUAAACUGAAGGUGAGCUGAGAAAGGAUUUAAUCAUCAAAACUACAAAAAUGCAUGUUAAUUGUGAAUGUGAAUAAAAUAACAGGAAGAGGAAUUCAGAGACAGAAGACAAUAUUUUUUUUCAGGCUUCUGAAACAUCGUCCACAGUUUUCCAAACCAUUUUACUACAGCCAGGAAAAAAGGUAAUUGAAAACAAGGAGCUAUGAAGUUGUGCAUGUCUUUAAGCAAGUCAAGAGAUUCAGCCACUAUGUUCUUCAUCACAGUUUCAAAAGGGAAGAAUCACAAGAUGAAUAUCUUUUUAUUAUGACAGUCCCAUAAUUGACCAUCCCACAUUCCUUGAGGAGGAUCAGCCAGUUUCUAGCAGACUCAAAAAAGCAUACUACUACUUCAAAGCAAAAAGCAUUCAGGUUUGUUUGUAAAACCUAUGCCUUUUCUGAGAUUUGUUUUCUUAGGUCUGUGUUACAGAAUUCCUUUUUUUUUUUUUUUUUACCAACUGCUAACAUGACAUGUAUUAUCUCUGAAAACCAAAUUAAACCAUAUUGCAGAGCUUCAAAAAACAGGCUCACAAGUAAUGGAUAUUAAUUUCAAAAUAAGGUUUUCUACAAUUGUUUCAGAAGUCAGGAAUUUUUUUUUUUCUUAGAGUUUUAUUUAAUAGUUAAACUCAAAUUUUUUGGUGGUUUUUUUUAACUUGUCUUUCAUUAUCAUUUCUUAACAGGAGCAAAGACAGUAUUCAUUACAUUCAGAGUUCUAGCAACAAUUCCAGCCACAAAAUGAACAAAAUACAGACAUUAAUAAAAUCAACCCUUUCGUAAAGUAUUUUAUACAUGUAAAAGUUGUACUUCAUUAAAUUUCUUUUACUGCUUUAAAGCACCUGUAUUUUAUGAGGUCUUCUCUAUGAAAUAUAAAACAGAGGUUUACAAUACUUGGAGUUAAAAUUGCAUCCAUAAUUCAAAUAAAUGUUUCUGGGUGAAGACAUAAUAUCUAGUCUCUCUUCCAGUACUCAUGGUAUAUUAUGGGAUAACUCUGAUGUAGUUUACAUUAUUUUAGAUCUCAGAAAAAUCCACCAGUGUUGCAUAAGUGGAGUUCAGUUUAAAUCACCUGAGAAUGUUUGAUUAAGAGAUGAAAGACAUGAAAAGCAAAAAGAAUAUUGAGAAAAGUACAAAUACGAAAUAAGGGGAAAUAAAGGGUCUAAUUUAAAACAUUUUUUCUAACAUAUAGUGCUAUCUAAAAAAAAAAGCCAAAAUUAUUUUAGUGUUAUUGUUAUACUGUGUUACUGGCUUAUGUUGCUCUGUUUACUUCUGCACUGGCUGCCUUUAGGCUUAAAUUUACUGUAAAUCCAAGUUGCUGAAGUAGGCAUUGACUGUAUCUCUGAAAAGCUACCUUCAGGGAUCUGUGCACACCCUCAGUGCUUACAAGAUUGAUUUGUAGCUUCAAGCAUAAGACACUUAAGGGGAUCUGAAACUAGGAUGGCCGCACAGGUGACGUUAUAACCUGCACAGGGUGAGAUAAGAAGCUGGAUGCUCUGUUAGUGCCCCCUGAUGGGCAGCUCAUGCAACCCUUUCAGAUAACACAUGAAUCAAUAAAAUACAUACUUAAGAUGACAAUAAUACAUAUAUAUUUAAAAAUAAUAAAACGAAACCAAAGCAAACAUAACAUGCUAAGUGUAAAAAGUAGAGGAUAUUAAAAACUUGGAAAAUGUAAGUUAUAUGAAAUUCUUAUUUUUUACAUCUGACAGAGAUGUAAACCUAUUUAUCAGAAGCAAACUGAAACAGAAAAAAACACCUCAGAUUUAAUAAUUUGAAUCAACCUUUUUAUUAAAUGUAAUUUUUUAAAAGAAAAUUGUUCCAGUAUCAAUAUGAAAACUUGUUAUAACAGCAAAAAAAUCAAAGGGCCAAUUAAUCACAUAGGGAGAUGGAACAGGACGGAUAUUUUAUCUUUCCUUAAACUGAGAGGUGUAUACUCAAGCUGUGGAAAAAUCUGAAUAGAUUUUCUAUAUUUACAAGAAAGUUACAUUUCUCAUAACUCAUCGUGAGUUACAUUUCUCAUUGUCUAGCUGUCUUCUAUCCAUCCAGGUGUUGUGUUAGAAGUAGGUAAGUUGUCAAUAAUAUUUGAAAUACCACCACUUCAUACAUACAGUUGGAUAAA